rnacentral:rRNA from 1 species
UGGCGACCGGCGCACGGGUGAGUAACACGUAUCCAACCUGCCGAUGACUCGGGGAUAGCCUUUCGAAAGAAAGAUUAAUACCCGAUGGCAUAGUUCUUCCGCAUGGUAGAACUAUUAAAGAAUUUCGGUCAUCGAUGGGAUGCGUUCCAUUAGCUUGUUGGCGGGGUAACGGCCCACCAAGGCAUCGAUGGAUAGGGGUUCUGAGAGGAAGGUCCCCCACAUUGGAACUGAGACACGGUCCAAACUCCUACGGAAGGCAGCAG